CUAUGUAAUCGGACUGUCGCUUGAUUUAUAUAGUCAAGAGGAAAGUCUGGACUCCACAGAACAGCAGUACUGGGUAACGCCCAGCGAAACUUUUGUUUUAGGGAAAGUGCAACAGAAAAUAAACUACCUUCGGGUAAAGGUGAAAAGGUGCGGUAAGAGCGCACCGCGCUUUAGGUGACUAAAGUGGCAGUGUAAACCCUACUGGGAGCAAGACCAAGUAAAGAUGAUAUAUGUUUGUUCUGACAAGUCAUCAGGGUGGGUCGCUAGAGGUUGCUAGUAAUAGUAAUCGUAGAUGAAUGACAGUCAGGUUUUUACCUACAGAAUCCAGCUUACAGAUUACAUAGUGCG
rnacentral:RNase_P_RNA from 1 species